UGCAAGUCGAACGGCAGCACGGGAGCUUGCUCCUGGUGGCGAGUGGCGGACGGGUGAGUAACACGUAGGAAUCUGCCUGGUAAUGGGGGAUAACCCGGGGAAACUCGGGCUAAUACCGCAUACGCUCUACGGAGGAAAGCGGGGGAUCUUCGGACCUCGCGUUAUCAGAUGAGCCUGCGUCCGAUUAGCUAGUUGGUGGGGUAAAGGCCCACCAAGGCGACGAUCGGUAGCUGGUCUGAGAGGACGAUCAGCCACACUGGAACUGAGACACGGUCCAGACUCCUACGGGAGGCAGCAGUGGGGAAUAUUGGACAAUGGGCGCAAGCCUGAUCCAGCAAUGCCGCGUGUGUGAAGAAGGCCUGCGGGUUGUAAAGCACUUUAAGCAGGAAAGAAGGUUUCAAGGCUAAUAUCCUUGGAAAUUGACGUUACCUGCAGAAUAAGCACUGGCUAACUCCGUGCCAGCAGCCGCGGUAAUACGGAGGGUGCGAGCGUUAAUCGGAAUUACUGGGCGUAAAGCGCGCGUAGGCGGUUGACUAAGUCUGCUGUGAAAGCCCUGGGCUUAACCUGGGAACGGCAGUGGAUACUGGUCGGCUAGAGUAUGGUAGAGGAGAGUGGAAUUUCCGGUGUAGCAGUGAAAUGCGUAGAGAUCGGAAGGAACACCAGUGGCGAAGGCGGCUCUCUGGACCAAUACUGACGCUGA
rnacentral:rRNA from 1 species